UACCCUGUCUAACCUGCUAGAAGUUUGAGGGGGUGAAGACUGUGGCCCCGGAGCUGAAGCCCAUCAAAGUUGCUUCACCAUGGCACUUGAUCGGGGUGGACCUCAUCAGACACUUCACAAAAUCAAGGAAUGUCAACAGCUGGUGUCUGACGGAGACCGAUCACUUUACCAAGACAAGACUGGCGAGGCCAUCUCCAAGGCGAUGAUGGACAUCUUCAACACCCACGGUUCUCCUGAGGUCAUCUUGAGUGACCAAGGUCAUGAGCGCUUGAACAUGUGUCAAUAGAUAUCGCUUUCCUAGCCCCCUCCUCCAGGUUUGGUGAAUGGCCCAACCAGACCCUCAAGACCCUCAAGGGCAAGUCCCUUGACAGGUACCAGGAACGGUGGGAGAACAACCCGAAGGUAAUUCUCUUUGCACACAACAUCAGCCUCCAGGCCUCCACCGAGUACGGAAGGAACCGCAGCUGUUGACUAAGGUAAACAAUGCAAUUGUAGAUAUAAUUAUUACAUUUACUGUAGUCUUUCAAAUUUGUGAUUGACUUAGUGUUGUUGUUUGUCUAUUGCUAUUUUUGUAGAACGUACUUUCAGAUCACUGAAACCCCAUCUGAUGUGGUGGAAGUUGAUAAACCAGAUCAGAACGCCUUCGAGGACCACCUUCAGACACGGACUGAGAAGGACGUGGUGGUUUUUGACCAGGAAAAAAAAUAUUAUCCGGUGUUAAUUCAUUUUCUGGCCCUCCAAGAGAUAUGUAAGAAAUGUAUUUGUAAAAUGAACUAUAAUUGCAUGUAUUCCUGUUAUCAAUCAAGGUGAAACUGAAUAUCGACACGGCACAGGAGAAACAGAAGGAGAGCUACCGGAGCAGAAUCAAGAAGGGGACCAAGUGCUAUGACAUUCAGGCAAAAAUAGUUACCUUGGUGGAAGCCAACAAUCUUCCCCAGUAGGAGCAGUUGGAAGGUUGACCACUGAAAGCCCUGACAGCCUAUACUUCAGUGAAGCCCAAUAGACAAAGACCAUCGACUGUCCAAGCCUCACCAGAGCAAGUGCGUAUGGAACAGUCUGAUUCUCUGUGCUCUGAGUCGGAGGGGGACCAGCUUGAGAUGUGGAUCUACCUGAUGUCCUCCAUUAACAACAACCCUUCAACUUUUCAUUACAUAAUCUACAGCUACGGUUAUUGUCAUUGUCCGAUUAAACGUUUUCUUGCUCUAUCAUACUGGGCACAUAAUAUGUGAGAUACACAGAUUACCUAAAAACACUAGCACUGCAAACACUCAGAACAAAGAGCGCGGCAGUACCUGGACUUUGCAGUCUCCCACUUCAAGUCCCCAUUCCGCGAUUGGCUGCCUGUUAAGAAGAAGUGACAGGCGGAAACUCCGACCCACACAGCAACCACCUCCUCUAUAUUCUACACAACAGAAUUCAGUAUUUUAGUCUAUGAUUGCCAUGUGUGCAAAAAAUCUGUGAAAAUGUAUUCAUGACACAACUGUACUGAAAAAAUAUCAAUGUUUAUGUAUUAAAAUCUUAAAUAUUGGCAGGUUGGUUUUCA